UACGAGGGGGGCGAGCGUUGUUCGGAAUUAUUGGGCGUAAAGGGUGCGUAGGCGGUUUGGUAAGUCUUGUGUGAAAUCUCCAGGCUCAACUUGGAGUCUGCACGAGAAACUGCCGGGCUUGAGUGUGGGAGAGGUGAGUGGAAUUCCCGGUGUAGCGGUGAAAUGCGCAGAUAUCGGGAGGAACACCAAUGGCGAAGGCAGCUUGCUGGGACGGUACUGACGCUGAGGCGCGAAAGCGUGGGGAGCAAACAGG
rnacentral:rRNA from 1 species